GGAGGAUGCCGCACACCUGGCAGGACAGGUCGCCGUGGGACCAGUGGUCGUGCUGCAGCACGUACUGCAGCCAGAAGGGGAGCGAGCAGAUGUAGAAGAGGUCGGCCACCGUCAGGUUGCACAGGAAGGUACCAGGUCAGUCAACAGUGAGCCCACAGCCCCUCCUGGGGUCCUCUCCAGACAGCAUGGUAGAGGCCCAACCUCAUCUAAAUCCUGCUACCUCUCCUCCUUGGAACUGGGGACACAGCACAGGGGACAUCACAGGAUGAAGCCCUGAAAGAUGUGAGCACCAGGCCAUGUCAAGCUGGGACUCACGGACCAGAAGGGAAGCCCCUCCCACUACUGACGGACCAUGUCUCACCACCUGCUGACCAGGGCCCCUCCCUCCGAGGCCUCCAUCCUGCUGGCUCCUGGCUGGCCCUGCGGCCCCCAGAGCCAGCGCUCAGCCUGGAAGCUGGCACUGCGAGCUGGGCAGGGGCUCAGAGACAUCCAGCCCAGCAGUUCCACUCCUGGGGUUCAUGGAUGAUAAACUUGAGGGCUUCCCCUAAAAUCACACGCUCAAUCUUGUAACUAUUUAAGUAUGUGCAUCUUUCAUGGAAAAGGGCCCUGUGGCUUCCAUAAGAUGGGACUGGCCCAUAGCUGUCACCUCUCACCAGGACUCUCUGUGUCUCUGUAGCCAAGCCCUCCCCGACCCCAAUGCUCCCACUCAUGCCCCGGCCUUUAUCUGAAGGGCAGCCACAGCAUUCUUUCUAAAAUGCAAACCAGAUCCUCCUCUUCCUUGCUUAAAACCCACUGAGACGGUUUCACAGUGGCUUAUCACGCAGUCAUACCAAACUCCUUAUGGGACCUACAAGGACUGACAUGAUCCUGUCCCAGCUCCCCCUACCUUGCCCGCCACCACCACACUCUAGCCUCACCGGCCAGCUUUCUGUGCCUCGGCCACCUGGCCUCACUCCUGCCUCUCCUGGAGUGCCGCUCCUCCCCUCCCCCACCCCACCUCCAUCCCAGGGCCAGCUCCUUUGCUGCCAGACCUCAGCUUAAACAUCACCCCCUGGCGAGGCCCUCCCUGACCACCCGACUAAAGCAGCCCCCUCCCCGCCACCAUCACACCUUCCUAUUUGGGUGCUCCCCAGAGCGCCCAUCGGUAUCUGAGAUUUUUCUUGUUUAUUUACUUGUCUGGUUGUCGAUGAAUCUGUCUCCUCCAUGAGGAUGUAAAUUCCAGGAGGGCCUCAUGCACCCUGAACAGUGCCUGGCACAUCACAGGCACUCCUGAGUCCACUGGAAUGAAUACGUGAAUGCUACCUCCCCACCAUCCAUCCCCAGAACUUUUUCAGCUUCCCCAACUGAAAAUCCGUCCUCCUUAAACACUAACUCCCCAUUCUCCCUCCCCUCAGCUGCUGGCAACCACCAGACUACUUUCUGUCUCUAUGAAUUUGACUGUUCUUGGUCCCUCAUCUAAGUGGAAUCAUACAGUAUUUGUCUUU